rnacentral:rRNA from 1 species
CCUACGGGGGGCAGCAGUGAGGAAUAUUGGUCAAUGGCCGGAAGGCUGAACCAGCCAUGCCGCGUGAAGGUCAGUGCCCUAUGGGCGUUAAACUUCUUUUGUGCGGGAGCAAUAAUGGUCACGUGUGGCCAGACGAGAGUACCGUACGAAUAAGCAUCGGCUAACUCCGUGCCAGCAGCCGCGGUAAUACGGGGGAUGCAAGCGUUAUCCGGAUUUAUUGGGUUUAAAGGGUGCGUAGGCUGUGAGGUAAGGCAGCGGUGAAAUGCCUCCGCUCAACGGGGUGAAGUGCCAUUGAUACUGGCUGGCUGGAAUGCGGAUGCCGUGGGAGGAAUGUGUGGUGUAGCGGUGAAAUGCAUAGAUAUCACACAGAACACCGAUUGCGAAGGCAUCUCACGAAUCCGCGAUUGACGCUGAUGCACGAAAGCGUGGGUAUCAAACAGGAUUAGAUACCCCUGUAGUC